rnacentral:rRNA from 1 species
UUUCUUUUUCAUAUUUCAAUGUUUAUUGAUAAUUUCUUACCCAACAGGCCCCAUCUCAUUAUCUAUUAUCAUGUCAAAUCCAACAUCAUCAAGAGGGAAAUUGCCCAAAUUACUAGUUAAGGCUCAUAAAUGAUCAUUCAUUAAUAAAACGAGGUAGGAGCUCCAAGACAGCCUCAAGUUUUGCCUAGAAGCAACCAUCCUUGAAAGAGCGCGUAAUAAUUCAUUGGUCGAGUGCUCUAGCAUCGAAGAUGAGUAGGAUUAUGGAAUUUGCUCAAUAUGUAGGAUGUAAAAAUACACGAGUAGCGGAGCAUCCUACCUUAAAGGAGGCCUCUGUGUGGAUAGUGAUGGGCAGAGCGGAAGCA